AGGGCAGGCGGUGGAUGCCUUGGCGUCAAGAGGCGAAGAAAGACGUGGUAAGCUGCGAUAAGCUUCGGGGAGGAGCUAAACAUCCGUUGAACCGGAGAUUUCUGAAUGGGGUAACCCAAUGCGGUUAAUGCUGCAUUAUCCUUACCUGAAUCUAUAGGGUAAGGAGGCGAACGAGGGGAACUGAAACAUCUUAGUACCCUUAGGAGAAGAAAAUAAUAAUGAUUCCCUGAGUAGCGGCGAGCGAACGGGGAAGAGCCCAAACCGAAUGCUUUCGGGUGUUCGGGGUUGUAGGACCGUCAUUAAGUGAUCCGUGAAUAGAUAGAAGAGCCGGCUGGGAAGCCGGGCCAAAGAGGGUGAGAGCCCCGUAUUCGAAAUUGAAAGCGGCACAGACGGCACCUGAGUACCACGGGACACGAGGAACCCUGUGGGAAGCUGGGAGGACCAUCUUCCAAGGCUAAAUACUCCUUGACGACCGAUAGCGAACCAGUACCGUGAGGGAAAGGUGAAAAGAACCCCAGUGAGGGGAGUGAAAUAGUACCUGAAACCGUCUGCCUACAAGCAGUGGGAGCACGAUGAUCUUAAGGGGUCCGUGUGACCGCGUGCCUUUUGCAUAAUGAGUCAGCGAGUUACUUUAUGCAGCGAGGUUAAGCCGAGAGGUGAAGCCGUAGCGAAAGCGAGUCUUAAUAGGGCGAGAAGUUGCGUGGAGUAGACCCGAAACCAGGUGAUCUAUCCAUGUCCAGGGUGAAGCGAGAGUAAAAUUUCGUGGAGGCCCGAACCGUCACACGUUGAAAAGUGUUCGGAUGAGGUGUGGAUAGGGGUGAAAGGCCAAACAAACCUGGAGAUAGCUGGUUCUCCCCGAAAUAUAUUUAGGUAUAGCCUUGCGGAAUUGACUGACGGGGGUAGAGCACUGGAUGGGCUAGGGGUCUCACCAGAUUACCAAACCUAACCAAACUCCGAAUACCGUUAAGUUGUAUCGCAGGAGUGAGAUGCCCAGACAACCAGGAGGUUGGCUUAGAAGCAGCCAUCCUUUAAAGAAAGCGUAAUAGCUCACUGGUCGAGUGAGUCUGCGCGGAAAAUGUAUCGGGGCUAAGCAUAAUACCGAAGCUGCGGAGCCGGAUUUAGAUUCGGUUGGUAGGGGAGCAUUGCAUGCGGGAAGAAGGUCGACCGAGAGGACGGCUGAACUGCAUGGAAGAGAUCAUGCUGACAUGAGUAGCGAUAAAGCGGGUGAAAAACCCGCUCGCCGAAAGCCUAAGGAUUCCUGAGUAAAGCUAAUCUUCUCAGGGUUAGUCGAUCCCUAAGCCGAGGCCGAAAGGCGUAGGUGAUGGAAAACAGGUUAAUAUUCCUGUACCACCGUAUAAUCGUUUGAGAGAAGGGGGGACACAGAAGGGUAGGUCAUCCGGGUGAUGGAAGUCCCGGUUCAAGCAGGUAGGCUUGAAGAGCAGGCAAAUCCGCUUUUCAGUAAAGGCCGAGAUGUGAUGACGAGAGACGAAAGUUUCAUAAAGUGAUUGAUCCCAUACUGUCAAGAAAAGCCUCUAUCGAGAUAAUAGGGUGAUCGUACCGCAAACCGACACAGGUAGGCAGGGAGAGAAUCCCAAGGCGCUUGAGAGAACCCUGGUUAAGGAACUCGGCAAAAUGAUACCGUAACUUCGGGAAAAGGUAUGCCCCUUGUAGGUGAAGCACGAAGCGUGUGGAGUUGAAGGGGGUCGCAGAGAAAUGGCGGUAGCGACUGUUUAACUAUAACGGUCCUAAGGUAGCGAAAUUCCUUGUCGGGUAAGUUCCGACCUGCACGAAUGGCGUAACGACUUCCGCACUGUCUCAACCAGGGACUCAGCGAAAUUGAAAUGGCGGUGAAGAUGCCGUCUACCCGCGGAAAGACGGAAAGACCCCGGCACCUUUACUACAGCUUGACAUUGGGUUUUGAGCUAGUAUGUGUAGGAUAGGUGGGAGACUAAGAAGCAGGCACGCCAGUGUUUGUGGAGUCAGCCUUGAAAUACCACCCUUGUUAGUUUAGGAUUCUAACGCCAGUCCAUGAGCUGGAUGGCGGACAGUGUCUGGUGGGUAGUUUGACUGGGGCGGUCGCCUCCCAAAGCGUAACGGAGGCGCGCGAAGGUUCCCUCAAACUGAUUGGAAACCAGUUAGAGAGUGUAAAGGCAUAAGGGAGCUUGACUGCGAGGGAGACAUUCCGAGCAGGUACGAAAGUAGGUCUUAGUGAUCCGGCGGUUCUGAAUGGAAGGGCCGUCGCU
rnacentral:rRNA from 1 species